CCCCGGGCGGCUUCCCGCGCCCGCGGCCGGCUGCCACUGCCAUUGCAGCUCCCGGCCCCCGGGUGCGGGCGCUUGCCUCCCAGUUGGAUGACUCGGCCCGGGCGAGACAGUGCCCAGAGGGCCUUGGCCCAGUGAAGCAAUGCCGUCAAUGCCCUACGCACACCUCCUGCGAGGCUCCAGGCCGCUAGCCAGAGUGGCGCCCCCUGCCCCGACGCACACGUGGACCAAAAAGGCAUUCAACACUGAGAAUCAGAGCUUUCCCAUCAGUGAUUCACUCAAGGCCGCCCUUUGUGAUUUGAAGCUGAUGGAGUGAGGGCAACAGUUUGAAUCUUGUAAUCCCAACAUCUUGACGGCCGUUACGUCACAUUCUACUGCUCCAUCACGUGGGGAAAGAACAUCACACUGAGAGCCUGGAAACUGGAAAAGUGUAGCUGACACUUCUUCAUCUUACCUAGAUGCCAUGCUUCACAGAGAAGAUACUCGGUCCACACCAGCGGGUUCUCAUUCUGCAGAGGUAUGAGAAUGAACUGUGGAAUCGUUCUAAAUGCACUCGGCUGGGUACCACUGGAGCUGUGGUGGGUCUGACCCCAGUGUGUGGAGCUAAGUGAUUUCUGAUCUGCACAAGGAGUGCCCUGGAGCAGCACCGAAUGUGGGUGAGAGGGACAGGAGACGGGCGGUGAGCAGUGAGGCCUCUUCCCUGAUGGUUCAAGUGCACACGACAGAUGAAUGGGCAGCAUGGGCUCUGGAGCAUUGCGGUUGUGUAUUUAUCUGUUACCUAGGACUCAGUUCACUCGUCUCCCACCCACUGGAGCACCCACUGGAUGGCAUGCAGUGGACACCAGAAAGACACUGCACAGGACUGCAACAUCGUCCUGGCUCUGCCACCCAUGCUGUGCUGUCGUUCCAGGCAAUGGUCUAACCUCUCUGUUCUCAGUUUCGGCACAGGGUUUCAGAGCUGGAGGUACAGUACAGGGAGGAGGACAGGCGGUUGUGUAAUUCUCUCAGGAAGAAAGCCAAAACGAAAAAGAAGAAUGCAAGCAGCGUCGGCACACAGGCGAUUUUACAGAAAAGCGAUGAAUGUUCCACUGUGUCCUGAAAUGGUCAUGGAGCACCGUGCUGGAGGAACUGCUGCCUUUUGCAUUUUCGCGAGAGGCAUGAUCUAGGCUUCAUAAACGAUCAGCCGGUCUGCUCAGCUCAAUUCAGCUGUGUUCGAGGAACAGGAACUGAGCAGCUGUUGAGGCUGCAUGCUCACAUCCAGAGACAGUUCAUGCUCUGCAGCAGUUUGGAGUCUGCAGGUAGCUGCAGACCCACAAAGAGAUCACCUUGAAAUUAUGUGCAGAAGAAAGCUGGGGGGUGGCCUGAGCCAGCCUGGGGCAGGGUGUGUGUG